rnacentral:lncRNA from 1 species
AGUUGAAGGUACUUUUCUUACUCCAUCAUCAUGCAGUGGAUGGUGUCUGUCUCUCAAUGCAGCUCCUUUCUGGACCUGAAGGUCUGCUUCUCUCCCUCAGGGUCCCGACUCCUAUCCCAGCUCCUCUUGGGUUUUGAAGGGGAGGCCCUCUCCUUCUCUUCCUCUGGGGACCCCAUUGUGAUGUGAUGCUGUAUCUCCCUAAGUCACUCCCCCACUUUAAGGCCCAGCCACAGCCCCUGUGAGCUCAAGGCCCUCCCCUAAUAAGACUCAUCCCAGAGUCUAAUCCUGUGGCAGCUCCUUCCCUGAACCUGCGGCAGGUGUUCAGGCUGAUCUGACCCCGUCAUACGCACAGGUAGCGGGUGCUUCUCCUGUGUGCGUACUCAGAGCGGUGCACAGGUAAUCUCUCCCAGGCCCUGACUUGUGAUAUCCCGGGAUCUUGUCUAAUUCUAUGGCAAAAGGCAGAAGAUGAAGGAAGUAAGGGACCGAGGCUCCAUAAGACGAAUCAGGAAACAGGAACCCUCAACACCAGAGCUAGUCCUGCCAAGCCCACUUCAAGGAAAAGGGCUGCAUCAUGUUAGCCCCAUUUUGGGGAAUGGUGGGAAUGUCUUCUUUCUUUUUUUCUUUCUUUCUUCUUCUUUUUUUUUUUUUCUCUAGGUUUCCGCCUGUGGUUACCUUGCUAGGCUUCUCAGGCCCUUUGUGUCCCUCUGUCAGCUACAUCUCAGCCCUUCCUGGCUCGGUUCCUCAGCACAUCUGCUGUGGGCUCAGGGCCCAGGCAUUGUCCAUUAGCGGCUCCAUACAGAGAGGCCUCCGCAGUGGCUGCACAGCUGGAGAGAGACCAUACCCAUGUAUACACAGGCUCCCUGCCUGUCCCCCUCUACCCUGAGUGUUAGAAACUCAGGUUUCCUGUGAAAUCAUUGCCUUUGUAAACCAGGAACCAUGCAUGCAGCCGAGUUCCACAAGCCAAUGCAGCCUCAAAUGUUUCCUUCUCAGGAACGUCCCUGUGUGGUUGGGAUGUUGAGAUGUUGUUGAGAAAAUAUGCGCUUUGAGAAGGGGAGGAGAAAACAAGAGCUCCCUAGUCUGGGGCAAAGAGCCUUUACGGAGUGUCAUUAGGAGUCCUGGCUGCUGUACACACUGGGGAACGUGUUUACAGUUGCUCCCUUGAAAUGUGAGUUACAACUUUAACUUUGCCUAAGGCCUUUUCAGGAUCUGAACUGGUUUCUUCGAAGGCAUGGCACCACUUUACUAUGCAACAGCCUGACAUGACACUAAAUCAUUUUUUAGUUUCAUCGAGUUGAGCCAGAGCCAAGGUAUUCUCGGGUUGGGUUUGCACGUCAGCCUUUUAAAAUAGAUCUACAGUUAAAAAGAAACACACUAGAAAAUACUUAUCGCGUCAGUUCACUCCUGUUGUUAUCCAACAAUGAUCUCUGUCUUCUGCAAGACACCUUAAGUUCUAGGGGCCCCAAAGGAUGGCUCCAAUUUCCAUGCAUCAGCGGCUGUUCCCCGAUGCCUAGCCUGAAUGCCACACGGCAGCAGGAGAGGGCCGGAAGAGGCGGCAGGCCAUGGCAGAAUGGGAGCCACACUUUUCCAAGGAUGCCACAGUUAGGCAGCUCCACCAGGCCUAGGAAGGUACAAGAGCCUUUGUGAUGAGAUAUUACGGUGAUGCCUCAGUGAAGUUACCACCUUGCUGUGCUCCAUCAUCCUUCCUAUGGACCCUGGAUCCACUGAGGGCCAGAGUUCUCUCAGGAAUCUUCCAUCCUCUGCACCAAACUUUCCCUUCCCUCUUCCUUAACCCUACCAUUGAAAUAUCUGUCUUGACUGUGGUGGAUUAUCCACAUGCUGGCCUCCCUACCAGUGAGAAGAGGGUCCAAGGUCUUGCUCUUGAAUAUUCCAGACAGCUAUGCUGCAGAAGCCCUCGUAGGUACUUCAAGUGGGAUGCAGAGGCAUAGCGUUCAGGACAAGUUCCCUGUUCGUACCCAACGCUCAGCACAGACCCCCAUCUGUCUCUCAUGUCUUCCUCACCACUCUUUUGGACCAGUCCCAUGCUGCUGAUCUGGGGCUCUCCAGCCACAUUCAGUUCAGAACACAGUCCGGAGGUGAGAUAAGUGUGAGGACGUCGGGUGUAGACGAUGGGAAUCUUCUUCUAGUUGCAAUCACUUCUAGCAAGCUUCCAGAGACAAUGGGACUGGGCAACCCUGAGGAAGAGGUAGGUGGCUAAGUAGAGGGUAGUGUGGUUUGCUGGCUCAGAGUGCUAGGGAAAAAUGCAGUCUGUGGACAGGGCUGUGGCUUGGUAGCACAACACUUGCCUGGCAUGCUCAGGACCCUGGGAUUGGUUUCC